GAUGAACGCUGGCGGCGUGCCUAAUACAUGCAAGUCGAGCGAACAGACGAGGAGCUUGCUCCUAUGACGUUAGCGGCGGACGGGUGAGUAACACGUGGAUAACCUACCUAUAAGACUGGGAUAACUUCGGGAAACCGGAGCUAAUACCGGAUAAUAUAUUGACCCGCAUGGUUCAAUAGUGAAAGACGGUUUUGCUGUCACUUAUAGAUGGAUCCGCGCCGCAUUAGCUAGUUGGUAAGGUAACGGCUUACCAAGGCAACGAUGCGUAGCCGACCUGAGCGGGUGAUCGGCCACACUGGAACUGAGACACGGUCCAGACUCCGACGGGAGGCAGCAGUAGGGAAUCUUCCGCAAUGGACGAAAGCCUAACGUAGCAACGCCGCGUGAGUGAUGAAGGUCUUCGGAUCGUAGAACUAUGUUAUUAGGGAAGAACAAAUGUGUAAGUAACUAUGCACGUCUUGACGGUACCUAAUCAGAAAGCCACGGCUAACUCCGUG
rnacentral:rRNA from 1 species